rnacentral:rRNA from 1 species
GACGAACGCUGGCGGCGUGACUAAUACAUGCAAGUCGAACGCAGUGGGGCCGGGUGAGUAACACGUGGGUAACCUCCCAUCAGAGGGGAUAACACUUGGAAACAGGUGCUAAACCGAUACUGAUGGAUGGACCCGCGGUGCAUUAGCUAGUUGGGGUGUUAACGGCGCACCAAGGCCACGAUGCAUAGCCGCCCUGGGAGGGUGCUCGUCCACCGUGGGAAUGGGAAACGGCCCAGACGCCUACGGUAGGCAGCGGUAGGGAACCGUCGGCAAUGGACGAAAGUCUGACCGAGCAACGCCGCGUGAGUGAAGAAGGUUUUCGGCUCGUAAAACUCUGUUGUUAGAGAAGCGGUAUCUAACCAGAAAGCCACGGCUAACUACGUGCCAGCAGCCGCGGUAAUUC